CCCCAGUGACCCUUCCCCAUGCCCACUUUUAUCUCCGUGGGUGCUUCCUAGAGAACCUGGCCUGAGGAACAGGUACAUCUAGAUGAUGAAGAAAUACACACACGCCCCUGGCCUGGCGGCUGUUCUAGGAACACAAAGUUAUCAUUCACGGGACAGACCACCAUGUGGAUUCUGUCUUCCACGGUGUUGCACAGGGCCCAUUCUAUCCAACACCUACUCUUGAGGCUUGAAGGUCUAGUGGAGAAGAAAGGUCGCAAGCCCCUACAUACCCCAAAAGAGUCAGAUGACCGCCGUGCCCAGAGGGGCUCAGAGGGUGUGAUGGCAGCUCUGACGGGUCACAUGGGACCGAAGGAGAGCAGAAUGCUGCACACCAGACGGAAAGGAAGCACAUUCCAGCUGGGGGGCAUGGUAUGUGCCUGAAAGGGCAGGGGUCAAAAGGCCUGGACAGUGAGUGACCACCUCUCAGAACAUCCAGACCGUCACUUCUGUGCACUGGCCCCUGCGAGUGGGGGAUCCCGGAGGGCUGGGUGUGUCGCGUUGUGUCCCACCCCCACCCCCCACCCCCGCCCACCCCGCCACCACCAAUGGCUCUGUCAGCAGCUUUAGUGGUUGCUGGGGACCCACUGAGAGCAGCCGCUGUAGGGAUGACAAGGGCCAGCUGCGGAGGCUGUGUCACUAGCUGCCUCUCUCAUCACUCUCCCUUCGGCUUUCAUUCUCGGUUCUCUCUCGGGAGCUGUGAUUUUCCUACCGCUGAGUCACCCAGGGAAGGGCAAUAAAGGAGGGUGAUUAAAAGUGUCUCA
rnacentral:lncRNA from 1 species